GAUGUGACACAUCCUAGUACUAUGAAUCUAGACAUACAGCCCAGAUUCAUAGUACUAGAAUAUGUCACAUUCGGUCCAAA
rnacentral:misc_RNA from 1 species